UACGUAGGGUGCAAGCGUUGUCCGGAAUUAUUGGGCGUAAAGAGCUUGUAGGCGGUUUGUCGCGUCUGCUGUGAAAUCUCAAGGCUCAACCUUGAGCUUGCAGUGGGUACGGGCAGACUAGAGUGUGGUAGGGGAGACUGGAAUUCCUGGUGUAGCGGUGGAAUGCGCAGAUAUCAGGAGGAACACCGGUGGCGAAGGCGGGUCUCUGGGCAGUAACUGACGCUGAGGAGCGAAAGCGUGGGGAGCGAACAGG
rnacentral:rRNA from 1 species